rnacentral:lncRNA from 1 species
AGGUAUGUCACAAGAAGCCCUCCAGGCAGCGAGUCACUUAGCACUGCACAGGUAGCAACUUUCUAAAAUAUUUUACCUUUAGUAUUGUCAUUUCAUAUUUCUGUCUUUCUCUUACUUUAGUGUACUAUUUUAUGGUGUCUUAAACCAUCACGCAAUUCCACGGGUAUGCAGCACAAAGAAUUGAGAAGUAAUUCCGAUAAGAGCAGGGGAAUAGUAAUUGAAACUGACACCCAUGUGACACUUUACAGUUUACAAAGUGCAUGGGUCGCAAUUCCAGAGUCUUCAGCUUUGGAGGAGACUGAGGUGCGGGACAUGGAAAAGAAGGUCAUUCUCUUGGAGCCCCAACAAUGACCAGGAGAAAUUCAUUUGGCGGUAAAACCACACGAACCCUAUUACAUCACCAAGCCCUCACCGUUUCCAGCACCCAGGGUCUCUACAAAGAGGCAAGCUGGGACUGAAAUCUCUCCCGAGUGUGGAAGACGGACGGGAGCAGCAGCCGGACAGCACAGCUCAAGGCCGAGAGGCUCACUGGGUGACUCGGGCCGCUUUGGGGUGGCUGUGAGAAGCGAAGGGAGGCUGACUCGGGGUGUGGUGGGGAGUGAAGCCACCACCUUAUUGCCUAGGCCUUCCCUUGAUGCACUUGGAAAAUAAGUUGCUCUUUCUUCACCGGGUGGGGACAUUAAUUAAUGUUUGCAAAAGUCUUUAUGAUCCUUGUCAAAAGGUGUUCGGCCGGCUCUAAUUAUCCAGGUUUCAGCUGCCACCGCUUCCAUCUCAGCACAGCAUCUCUGCCCUGGAAGAUGUCAAACAAGAUUGCUGUUGUCAGGAUGUGCAUCCAGCUCAUGUGGAUUUCUAUCUGCAUCUCCAAAUACUGCCCAGAUUCCAAAGCCCUGCAAGGGGAUGGUAUCUUGUUUGGGGAGAUGAGACCUGUGCCCCGCCCAGCUCCACCCCGUAAGAAGGCAGCUGCCUGGGAGAUUAGAUGAGAUAAUGGAUGUGAACGCCAAGUGUUGCAGAGACGUAAGCGGCAUUAUCGUUACUGAAAUGUCCCAGCCAGAUCAUCCCCAGGAGGGAUUAAUGGCCCACCAGGACAGGUGGGCACCUGGGGUGGUCGGAAGAGCCAGGAGAACCACAGCAGGGAAAAAGACUUCAGGAAAGGAAAGGAGAGAGACCCCACCGCUGGCACAACCACAGAAGUUUUGGGGAUGAGGAGGGGCUCUAGAUAUUUCCCCACUUCCCCAGACAGCCGUGUGCCCUUACAGGGGAACUGAAGCUGCCCACCCGGCUCAGGCCUGACCCCCCAGGUACCUGCUGCCCCAGGUGUGCGGGAGGAGGGUGAUGGCAGACGGACACCCACCUGGUGAAAGAGCCAGUCAGAAAAAUAACUGAGCGUGCCUGGGUGCAUGCAGACACAUCCCCAGGUAAUUUAGACAAAAAGGCCCCGUGUUGGCACGAGUAGCCCAUGGAUGUCAGACCAGAGUAAUUGCUUUCUUUGUCAGAAUUUCCUGCAUAAUUUCCUCUCCUUUGUUUAGCUGAGAGAACCUGGCCUUGCAUCUGGGAGUCUGCUUGCCAAACAUGAUUGGGUUCUUAGAGAUGAAAGACACAGAGUGAGCUAUUUUCCAUAAACACACUGGCACAUGUGUUAAUUACUGCAAGGAGAAAACCAGCCCCCAUGUUUCACGUGGGAGGUGCGUGGUGCUGUGGGGGGAGCGAUGGGUGGAGGGAGGACACCCUUCAGGAUCACAGUAGCUACUUCUCACCAGGACACUGCUGCCAUCCAGCCUUUGUUCUGGGCAUUUUGCGUUAAAAAUCUCAUUUAAUCUUCACAACAGGCCUGUGAGGCAGAAUCCAGGAAUGGAAAGAACUCGGGUUUAGAAGCCAAACAUUGCUGGAUUUAGUUCUGUCCUCAGCCACUUACUGAGUGAACGGGGCAAGCUACUUGCUUACUGGAGCUUCAGUUUUCCCGUCUGUUAAAUGGAAAUAAUACUGGCUUCAGUGUGUUGUGAGAAUUCCCUAUAGUAAUGACUGUGAAACAGCUGAAACCCUGCAGGCAGGUGGUAAAUGAUAGCUCUCGUGUUGCCCUUUAUGGAUAAGGAUGCAAGAAGUUUAGGAUGGUUGGCCAAUGCCACACUGCUGGUCAGCAGCAGAGCUAGGUCCGUCUCCCUGCCAAAGGCAGGCAUUUUGCUCAGAGGCCACCAAACCCAUACCCUUGGUGGCCAACAUGGCAGCGGCCGGAUCGGAGUCUCCCCCCAGUACUUUGUAAGCCCAUUGAGGGUAAGACUAUGCAUCAGAUCUCUUGGCAUCCUUGGUAUCCUUGGCAGGUCUCUUGGUAUCCUUGGCAUCCUCUCUCACAGUGCCGUAAAUGUUCCUUAAAUGGAUGAAAGCAUUCAGGAGCACCUAGAAUAGAUUGAGCAGAUAACCGCAUAACAGGUGUCCACUGUGUGCAUAUAACUUCAGCCUCUUCUGCGUUGUUGGGACAUGAAGUCCCUUCGCUUUGCAUGGAAAAUAGUCUAGGCACCCCCUGGCUGACUUGCCACGAUGCCUGUCCUCAGGACAGGAAGAAGGAUGGGCCCAAGGAGGAGAAUUGCGUCAGAGGUCAAGAAAUGAACUCCAGCAGAAGUAGCACAAACAGGGAACCCAUAAGGAAGCUUGUGAUGAACAAACAUAGGGCAGAUGAAGUGGAAUAUUGGAUGGAAACACACCUUGAAAAUGCACAGACCUGUGGCAAGGGAAGGGAUCACUGCUUAGAUCAAUAGCAGGGCCUUGGACCAUGGUUAGGGGGAUGCUUGUUAGUGCUUCCCUGGGCUGCAGGGAGCCACGGAAAACAGGCCAGGGCAGGAGACCGGCCAGUGACUCACACGGCGGAACACAGGUUUAGAGGAGCAAAAUCUGAAGGGCCCCUCUCCUUCUCCCCACCUGUUUUCUGUCACGUGCUCUGGACCUGAGCCCACAGUGGGGCAGCUCCCUCGGCCUCCAGUGGAAGGCGGAAGCACUUGACAAAAAGCCUCCAGUUAACCGGGGCAAGCAGCAGGGUGGGGCUCAGGCCUUCUGGCCAAGUCCUUGUCUCCCUCGAGUCUCCAGCUUUCUCCUGAGAGGCAAAGCCCUCGCCAGGCAGGCUUUAAUAAGCAGUAGUGCCCUGCACCCCUGCCCAAGUCCCCGGACCCCAUGCUGGCAGGCUACUGCAGCCCCUAUCUUGCCUGGCACAUGGCACAUGGGGUGUCUUGGCAUGUGGGGUGGUGCUGUAUGCCUGUAGUCACAGACUGGCACUCACUGCAAGAGCUUCCAAUGUGUGAGAGCUGAGGCUAGAGUUCCUUGCUGCCUGUGAAGAUGGUGCUGUGACCGGAGCAGGCCUCAUAAUGAGCCGGUGAUUUCAUCCCCUCCAGACAGAAGACAAAGUCUGUGCCUUCUGGGCAAAACAUUAGCUGACCCGUGACACUGCUCAGACCCCAGAGGCCUGGCUCCCGGCCUGCCGGGAGCAGUCACUCCAAACAGCUGCGGCUGUGAGGCCUUCAGAGAGUGGCUAAUUAGGGUCUCACCUGGCCAGCUCCAAUCUGCAACCACAAGCUCGAGGCCCAGCUGCCUCUCCCCAGUGCCUCUGGGGCUCCGCUGCCUCCCUCACAGAUGGCGAGUGACUUCCUUGAUCUGUAUAAACAAGAAUUCUGCCUUAUUCAAACAGCAAUGAUAGAUUGGAGGAUCUACUAUGUACAACACACUGUGCUUGCAUCCAAUGGUAGAGUUAGAAAAAAAAAUGUGAUGUCCUGUGAUGUUAAGAAGUGAAGAACCCCAUGGGGAGGUAGCAGAAAACAUCCAACAGUGAGUGGCAACAGGUGUGCUGGUCACCGAGGGCUUCUUGGGCAAGGUCAUUCAUGAACUGGGUCUUGCAGCACAGAUGUGCUGGGAGUGGAAGAGGACACAGUUAGAUGCCACUUUAUCCUCACUAUAGUGGCACAAAUGGAGAAGGCUGAUGAUGCUGUGUGCUGGGGAAGAGGUGGGUGUGUAGGUUGUCUACCUGUUGGCCGUGGGAGUGUAAAUGAGUCACCCACUCAGGAAAAUAGCUGAACAACCCCCAGGGGUACAUUCCUGUACACCACCACCCAGCAAUUCCACUCGUAGGUAUACACUUCAGAAAACUCUUACACAAAAAUAUUCACAGCAGGACUGUUCAAACGCCCACCAACAGAAGAAUGGAUAAACAGGUGUGUUCACACCAUGGAGUAUCAGACAGCGUCCAAAGAGAGGAAUUACGGCCACCCUAGCAAUAUGGACAAUGCUUAUCAACUUACUACUAAGUGAGAAAAGUAAGUCCCAAAAGAGUACAAACAGCAUGACACCCUCUCAAAGAAGGCAAAGAGAUGUCAAAUAUAAUAUACACAUUUUAGGACUCCAAGGAAUAGGUAAGAUGAGAGGACAGGAUAGGAAAAUAGGCCAGGAGCUGUGGCUCAUGCCUGGAAUCCCAGCACUUAGGUAGGCCGAGGCAGUUAGAUCACUUGAGCCCAGGAGUUCAAGACCACCCUGGACAAUAUAGCGAAACCUCGUCUCUACAAAAAAUACAAAAAUUAGCCAGGUGUGCUGGCAUGUGCCUGAAGUCCCAGCUACUUAGGAGGCUGAAGCGAGAGGAUUGCUUGAGCCUGGAAGGUCAAGGCUGCAGUGAGCUGUGAUCGUGCCACUGCACUCCAGCCUGGGUAAUAGAGAAAGAUCCUGUCUCAAAAAAAAAAGGAAAACACAGAAAGGAGGCACACAGGAUUCGGGGUGACAGCUAUCUUGGGAUAGCUCCCUGCAGCCCAGGGAAGCACUAGGGAGGGAAUGGGAUGGGGUAGGCCACACAGCUGAUGUCAGCUCUUGCUAAGGCCCAGCUUUCAGGCUGGGUGGUGGUUUCACAGGUGACUAUUCUGUUACUUUAAAAUGUGAUCUAUUAGCACAGCUAGGGACGUAGGACUAUGCCUGUAAUAGCAAAAGUAAUAAAAUGCAUCAAAGCCCAGGA